rnacentral:rRNA from 1 species
GACGAACGCUGGCGGCAUGCCUAACACAUGCAAGUCGAGCGAGCUGAUCCCUUCGGGGUGAAGCUAGCGGCGGACGGGUGAGUAACACGUGGGCAACCUGCCUCAUAGAGGGGAAUAGCCUCCCGAAAGGGAGAUUAAUACCGCAUAAGAUUGUAGCUUCGCAUGAAGUAGCAAUUAAAGGAGCAAUCCGCUAUGAGAUGGGCCCGCGGUGCAUUAGCUAGUUGGUGAGGUAACGGCUCACCAAGGCGACGAUGCGUAGCCGACCUGAGAGGGUGAUCGGCCACAUUGGGACUGAGACACGGCCCAGACUCCUACGGGAGGCAGCAGUGGGGAAUAUUGCACAAUGGGGGAAACCCUGAUGCAGCAAUGCCGCGUGAGUGAUGACGGCCUUCGGGUUGUAAAGCUCUGUCUUCAGGGACGAUAAUGACGGUACCUGAGGAGGAAGCCACGGCUAACUACGUGCCAGCCGCCGCUGUAA